GAGUUUGAUCCUGGCUCAGGAUAAACGCUGGCGGCAUGCCUAAUACAUGCAAGUCGAACGGGAGUGCUUGCACUCCAGUGGCGAACGGGUGAGUAACACGUAUCUAAUCUACCUUUUAGUGGGGGAUAACCUUUGGAAACGAAGGAUAAUACCGCAUAAGUUCUUCAUUAUGACAUCAGAAGAAGAGGAAAGAUCCGUUUGGAUCGCUAAAAAGAUGAGGAUGCGGCGUAUUAGUUAGUAGGCGGGGUAAAGGCCCACCUAGACGAUGAUACGUAGCCGAACUGAGAGGUUGAUCGGCCACAUUGGGACUGAGAUACGGCCCAGACUCCUACGGGAGGCAGCAGUAGGGAAUUUUUCACAAUGGACGAAAGUCUGAUGAAGCAAUGCCGCGUGAGUGAUGAAGGUCUUCGGAUUGU
rnacentral:rRNA from 1 species